rnacentral:rRNA from 1 species
CAUUUCACACAGGAAACAGCUAUGACCAUGAUUACGAAUUCGAGCUCGGUACCCGGGGAUCCUCUAGAGAUUCGCCGCGCGCGGGCGGCGGGGCGGGGGCACGGGGGGGCACAAGCGGUGGAGCAUGUGGUUUAAUUCGAAGGAACGCGCAGAACCUUACCUACCCUUGACAUGUCUAGUAUGGGCACCGGAGACGGAGUCCUUCAGUUCGGCUGGCUAGAACACAGGUGCUGCAUGGCUGUCGUCAGCUCGUGUCGUGAGAUGUUGGGUUAAGUCCCGCAACGAGCGCAACCCUCGCCUUUAGUUGCCAUCAUUCAGUUGGGCACUCUAGAGGGACUGCCGGUGAUAAGCCGGAGGAAGGUAAGGAUGACGUCAAGUCCUCAUGGCCCUUACGGGUAGGGCUACACACGUGCUACAAUGGUGGUGACAGUGGGCAGCGACACAGUGAUGUGAUGCUAAUCUCUAAA